UACGUAGGGUGCGAGCGUUGUCCGGAAUUCUUGGGCGUAAAGAGCUCGUAGGCGGUCUGUCGCGUCGGUCGUGAAAACUUGGGGCUUAACCCUGAGCUUGCGGUCGAUACGGGCAUGACUGGAGUUCGGCAGGGGAGACUGGAAUUCCUGGUGUAGCGGUGAAAUGCGCAGAUAUCAGGAGGAACACCGGUGGCGAAGGCGGGACUCUGGGCCGAUACUGACGCUGAGGAGCGAAAGCGUGGGGAGCAAACAGG
rnacentral:rRNA from 1 species